rnacentral:rRNA from 1 species
UCAGGCCUAACACAUGCAAGUCGAACGGUAACAGGCCGCUGGGAUCCCUUCGGGGUGACUUGGCGCUGACGAGUGGCGGACGGGUGAGUAACGCGUAGGAAUCUGCCCUGUAGCGGGGGAUAGCCCGGGGAAACCCGGAUUAAUACCGCAUACGCUCUACGGAGGAAAGCGGGCCUCUUCUUGAAAGCUCGCACUACAGGAUGAGCCUACGUCCGAUUAGCUAGUUGGUAAGGUAAAAGCUUACCAAGGCGACGAUCGGUAGCUGGUCUGAGAGGACGAUCAGCCACACUGGGACUGAGACACGGCCCAGACUCCUACGGGAGGCAGCAGUGGGGAAUAUUGGACAAUGGGCGAAAGCCUGAUCCAGCAAUGCCGCGUGUGUGAAGAAGGCCUGCGGGUUGUAAAGCACUUUUAUGAAGGAAGAAACGGCCUGGGUUAAUAACCCAUGGCAAUGACGUACUG